rnacentral:siRNA from 1 species
GAUGAGAGUUUGGUUGAGUUUGGA